rnacentral:rRNA from 11 species
GGAAACCUGGCGAGAGUCAUGUCUCGUCACCCGCUCCUGAAUACAUAGGGAGACGGGGGCCAACGGGGAGAACUGAAACAUCUAAGUAUCCCCAGGAAAAGAAAUCAAACGAGAUUCCCUGAGUAGCGGCGAGCGAAACGGGAGGAGCCCAAACCGCGUCUUCGGGCGCGGGGUUGUAGGGCCGAAGCGGGGCUAGUCCCGCAGGACUGUGGAGGAUGUAGCGGAAGCGGCCUGGAACGGCCUGCCGAAGAGGGUGAGAGCCCCGUACGCGAAACAUUUCUCCCGACUGUGGCUUCGGUACCUGAGUACGGCGGGACACGAGAAACCC